AACAAGCAUGUGGCAGGGUCCCUGGUUCGUGGUGCUGCUUUUCAGCUGUAGAAGUGUGGCUCAGACCCUGACGCAGCCCAAAGCAUCGAUUACCGCACCUAUUGGGACAAGGGCGCGAAUUUUUUGUCAAAUGAAUGGACUCUCCGUCAGCAGCCCUUCACUGGUACCAGCCCUUCACUGGUACCAACAGAAACCCGGCAAGCCUCCCCAAAGGAUACUGUACUAUGGAGAUGGUGUAACGCGGGAUUCGGGAUUCGGGAAAUCCUUCAACGCCGUAAAGAUUACAAAUUCCGUUGUCCAGCUCACAAUCGAAGUUAACGCUGAAAGCGCUGCCACCUAUUACUGCGCCUACUGGGUUUACACAAAAAAGAUAGGACUGGCCAUCGAGUUAAAGGCCGAGAAAGGUGAAAGUCCAAUUUUGAUUUCACACGACAGGUGUCGUAAGGAGGUGGCUAGGAGCGGACCCAAGUGCAAGACACAGACAGUGAAGUACUAG